CCUACGGGUGGCAGCAGUCGAGAAUCAUUCACAAUGGGGGAAACCCUGAUGGUGCGACGCCGCGUGGGGGAAUGAAGGUCUUCGGAUUGUAAACCCCUGUCAUGUGGGAGCAAAUUAAAAAGAUAGUACCACAAGAGGAAGAGACGGCAAACUCUGUGCCAGCAGCCGCGGUAAUACAGAGGUCUCAAGCGUUGUUCGGAAUCACUGGGCGUAAAGCGUGCGUAGGCUGUUUCGUAAGUCGUGUGUGAAAGGCGCGGGCUCAACCCGCGGACGGCACAUGAUACUGCGAGACUAGAGUAAUGGAGGGGGAACCGGAAUUCGCGGUGUAGCAGUGAAAUGCGUAGAUAUCGAGAGGAACACUCGUGGCGAAGGCGGGUUACUGGACAUUAACUGACGCUGAGGCACGAAGGCCAGGGGAGCGAAAGGGAUUAGAUACCCUAGUAGUC
rnacentral:rRNA from 1 species